rnacentral:lncRNA from 1 species
AAACACAGAAGGCCAAACUGGGUUUGCGGUUUUGCCGUCGUCGUUUUCUCAUCGCUUUCUCAUCAUCAUUUGUCGUCAUUUUACUAUCUUUUUCUCAUGGAAUUUUCGUUUCCACAUGAAAGCUGAUGCCUUGGCCUCUCUUCUUCUUUCCAAUUUUAACAACAACCCCAUCAGAACCAAGGAAUGGUUGAUGUUGAUUUUAUUUCCUUUUAUGUUGUAAGGAUUGAAAGGGUUCUCAUAGAUCUGAAUAAAGUAUUGCUGGUGGUGAUUUUGUUUUCUUUUUGUGUUGUGGGAAAUUGAGAUUUGAGUGAAAGAAGAAGAAGAAGAAAAAAGUGGUUUUUGAUAAUUUGUGUUAUUUGUUGAUGAAAGAGAACCAAGAAGAGAAGAAGAUGUGAAAGAACACAUCGUUGAGUUUUUUUUUUUUUUUUUGGAGUGUGAGAGUGAUAGCCUCUUGUGUUCUUCCACCUCUGUUCUGUAUUUUUUCUUCCUCCUGUUGUUUCUUGGUUGUUUUAUUUUUUUAAUUAACAAGGAAAUAGGAU